GUAAUACGUCCAUGGUUGAACACCGCAGGUGAAGGAGAGAAAAAGUAAACAUAUUUGGCUGUAUUUUACCGCUUACAGACGGAAAGCGUUGUUUUAAAGAGAUAAUAAGACCGGAACAGCGCCUGGACGAACCGAGGUGACAUUUGCAGUCUCCAGUAAACCGGUCACAGAUGAGGUUGGUGGGACAGGAGCAGGUCUGAGAGCAGAACGGACCAAAACGACCUGGACUACAUGCUGAAAAACACAAGGUACCAGGUAGCUCAUGUCAGCCCUGUCCAGAGGGGGGAAAACUGCGGUCCACAGCAGCUCAGCCAACACGCUCCAGGCCAUUUUACACACACGGUGGCUGCUGCGAGCUCAUCGGGCCCACCAGCAUGUGUUGAAGAUGUAAAAUAUACUUUGGGAAGCCCUCAGAAGGAUCCUCCGGUUCCACACUUGCACCUCUGCAGACAGCCCUUCCCGAAGGUGCCUGCUGGACAGGACUCUUCGCAGUAACGUCC